rnacentral:rRNA from 1 species
AACGAACGCUGGCGGCAGGCCUAACACAUGCAAGUCGAGCGACCAUUCGGGGGAGUGGCUGACGGGUGAGUAACGCGUGGGAAUUUGCCCUUCUCUACGGAAUAGCCUCGGGAGACUGAGAUUAAUACCGGAUACGCCCUAUGGGGGCAAGAUUUAUCGGGGAAGGAUUGGCGCGCGUGGCAUUACGUGUUUUGUUGGGUAAUGGCCUACCAAGCCGACGAUCUAUAGCAGGUUUGAGAGGAUGAUCAGACACACGGAGACUGAGACACGGCCCAGACUCCUACGGGAGGCAGGAAUGGGGGAUCGUAGACAAUGGGGGCAACCCUGAUCUAGCCAUGCCGCGAGAGUUAUGAAGGUCUUAGGGAUGUAAAGCUCUAUCAGCUAGGAAGAUAAUGACGGUACCAACAGAAGAAGCCCCGGCUAACUCCGUG